GGCGUUAGGCUGAGACGCUGAAAGUCCGGAUUUAAAGUGCAGAAAAUUAAGCCAUUGAAUCUGCCUGUCCAUGACGUACAAAGACACACUAUGAGCCAGUAUGAUCCGACCAGACCUUACAUCAGCAUUGAGGAGUUGUCGGAGAAGAAAGAGGCUGAUUGAAGCGGGACAGAUGACAUGGAUCCAUCCUUCCACAGCCAGGAGCGCACCGACCUGUGUCCCACACUUCAUAUAAGACUGGAAGCUACA